GGAGAGUAGGAGCCACAAGCCUAACACAACCAAUAAAUAUGAAAGGGCAAUAACGACUUUUUGAAUAUGAACUUGGAGAAAGCCUCUCAGCUUUUUACGCUGAGAACUUUUUUUUUUCUUUUUUUACGCUGAGAACUUUCAUAUUGAGCCGUGUGUUUGGGUUGUGUAGAGAUAUGAAUAAAAAAUGUUUCUUAUAAGUGAAAAAGGGGAAAAAUGAUCGUAAAAAGCGUGGAUGGUUUCUCUAGGGCUUCACUGCCAUUUCCCAGGCCAUGCUAUUAUAAUAAGGUCAUGGGGGCCAGUGUUUGACGUACAAAAGUCUAAAAAAACUGUCAGGCCAAACAGGUCCAAAACUUAGUAAAAAAAUA
rnacentral:lncRNA from 1 species